rnacentral:lncRNA from 1 species
UGUAUGCCAGCAACUUAGUAUUUUCCUGGUUAAGCUGUCCUGCCAGGGACUGUAAUUCAGGAACCAAUCUCAAGCUAAGCAGAGGAAAAAAUGAGAUACUUAAUGAAAAUGGCCAAAUGUCAUCACCAGCCAUUUGAGAGUAGUUCUGUCAGGAGCCAUCCACAUUUAAAAUGGACUUUCACAAAAUUCUGGCCAUCUGCAGGGUCAUGAAGACUCAGAACACUUAUGUUUCCUGAGGGAGCCUUUUUGGUUCUGUGCUUUUUCUGAUGCAAGAAAUACAGACACUUGUGAUUUACUACUGGGCACUCAUAAGCGUGGAGCCAGUUAUUUCCUAAGGAACUCAAAGACCAAAAUUAAACAUUCAGAAAAUAAAAAUGUGUUCUAUAGUAUAAAACAUAUAUGUCUGAAAGCUUGUGGAGUAAGAUAGAAACCAAGUAACUCUGGUUAAUAAAAUGUUGUAUAUUCCUUGGAUUGCAACUUGUUCUGCAAGUAUUGUGCAACAUGAGCAAACAUUUCUAAUAAAUUUUAACUUGAUAAACAGCAAAAAAAAAAUGUUGUAUAUUAAUGAGAGCCUGAAAAUCCUUUUAUUUACAGUGUAUUUUUGCACUUUCUAAAUUACAUUAGUUCUUUUUUUUUUGCCUUAGGAAUUACAAUAUAGGGUGUGAGAGAGCAUACUUCUAAAAAAACAUUAUUAAUUUCAUUGAAUA